UUUUAUUGUUAAUUAAGUUUUGCGUGUUUAACUUCAUUUAAUAUGUUAUAUACAGUCCAGUCAGUUGAAUCAACAAUUAAACCAACAAGAAACAGGCAAGUAUUCAUACAAGUGGUAAAUUGAUUUUUGUGACGUUUUUACUCCUUUAAAAAUUAGAUUUUCCUAACAUAAUAAUUAAAUUAAUGAAUAUUUCUGUAAAGAUUAUUCUGUAACUAAAAAGUGUAAUUAUUUUAAAACUAAUAGUUACUUUUUUAGUAAUCACGAGAUAAAUUGCAAACUCUAUUCUUUUAGAUAUGAUUGUAACAGUUGAACAUUUGUCAGAUAUUUAACUUUUAAAUCAUAAUCUAAUUGCUCAGGCUUAUGAAAAGCUAUUUAUAAAAUGUCAACGCAUAAAAAGUAAUGAAAAAGAUUAAAGAUUGUUAUGAGGAUUGCAAAAGUUUAAAAUAACAGAAACUGAAUUGAUAAUCAGCAGAUAACAAAAAGCGCAAAAGUACUGAUUAUACAAGUCUUUUAAAGUUAAACCAUCACCACUUCCACAGCCACUUCAAGCGUUCAAUUGCAUUCUAAGAUAUCUUUAUUCAAAUCAAGUGUGACUGCUUUACCAAAAGACUGUAGAAUGGACCAAUUAAGUAAGAUGUCUAAAUUUAUAUAUGAGGUAUUCCAUGAGAAAGUGGGACAGGUAUGUAACCCACCAUCUCAGAUUUUGUUCAUACUUUGUAAAAAUGGUCAUCUAUAUAACAUAGACUUCCUUGCAAAAUUUUAGCACUGAUAUCAAAGGGGUUUUGGAGUUAUUGUUACUUUAAAAUCAGCUAUUUUUAGCAGUUUUUUCUGUUCGGCGGCCAUUUUGAUUUUACUAUAGUUUUUGUUUUACAAGUUACUGUUUAACUAAACAUGUAAUUAAGCUGAAA